rnacentral:rRNA from 1 species
AUUGAACGCUGGCGGCAGGCCUAACACAUGCAAGUCGAACGAGGGGCGGACGGGUGAGUAAUGUCGGGGAAACUGCCUGAUGGAGGGGGAUAAAUACUGGAAACGGGAGCUAAUACCGCAUACCAUGAGAUGUGCAGAGAGGGGAUUAGCUUGGUGGUGGGGUAACGGCUCACCUAGGAGACGAUCCCUAGCUGGUCUGAGAGGAUGACCAGCCACACUGGAACUGAGACACGGUCCAGACUCCUACGGGAGGCAGCAGUGGGGAAUAUUGCACAAUUGGCGCAAGCCUGAUACAGCCAUGCCGCGUGUAUGAAGAAGGCCUUCGGGUUGUAAAGUACUUUCAGCGGGGAGGCGUUACCCGCAGAAGAAGCACCGGCUAACUCCGUGCCAGCAGCCGCGGUAAUUC